AACGAACGCUGGCGGCAUGCCUAACACAUGCAAGUCGAACGAGACCUUCGGGGCUAGUGGCGCACGGGUGCGUAACGCGUGGGGACCUGCCCUUAGGUUCGGAAUAACUCCCCGAAAGGGGUGCUAAUACCGGAUAAUGUCUUCGGACCAAAGAUUUAUCGCCUUUGGAUGGGCCCGCGUUGGAUUAGGUAGUUGGUAGGGUAAAAGCCUACCAAGGCGACGGUCCAUAGCUGGUCUGAGAGGAUGAUCAGCCACACUGGGACUGAGACACGGCCCAGACUCCUACGGGAGGCAGCAGUGGGGAAUAUUGGACAAUGGGCGAAAGCCUGAUCCAGCAAUGCCGCGUGAGUGAUGAAGGCCUUAGGGUUGUAAAGCUCUUUUACCCGGGAUGAUAAUGACAGUACCGGGAGAAUAAGCUCCGGCUAACUCCGUG
rnacentral:rRNA from 1 species